rnacentral:pre_miRNA from 9 species
UGAGCUCACGGAUGUUAAAUUGACUCUAGUAGGGAGUCCGUUCCGCGCGACUCCCUAAUCGAGUCAGGUUGACUUCUUUGAUGCUAAAUCGA